rnacentral:rRNA from 1 species
UACGAGGGGUGCGAGCGUUGCUCGGAAUUAUUGGGCGUAAAGGGUAGGUAGGUGGUCUUAUUUGUCUGGGGUGAAAGCCUUGAGCUUAACUCAAGAAGUGCCCCAGAAACGGUAAGACUAGAGUCUUGGAGAGGGUCGUGGAAUUCCCGGUGUAGCGGUGAAAUGCGUAGAGCUCGGGAAGAACAUCGGUGGCGAAAGCGCUCUGCUGGACUGCAACUGACACUCAGGGACGAAAGCUAGGGGAGCGAAUGGG